GCCGCCAUCGUCUAGCGGUUAGGACGCAAGGUUCUCAACCUUGUAAUACGGGUUCGACUCCCGUUGGCGGUA
rnacentral:tRNA from 1 species